rnacentral:rRNA from 1 species
GACGAACUGUGCAAACGUUAUUCGGAAUCACUGGGCUUGAAGAGUGCGUAGGCGGUUUCGUAAGUAGGGUGUGAAAGCCCCCGGCUCAACCGGGGAAUUGCGCCCUAAACUGCGAGGCUGGAGUGAGGUAGGGGUGUGUGGAACUUCUAGCGGAGCGGUGAAAUGUGUUGAUAUUAGAAGGAACGCCGGUGGCGAAGGCGGCAUUCUGGACUGUAACUGACACUGAGGAACGAAAGCCAGGGGAGCAAACGGG